AGCCGCCGCGGGAACACCGGCGGCCCGAGUGGUGAUCGUGAUUAUUGGGUCUAAGGGUCCGUAGCCGGUUUGGUCAGCCCUCCGGGAAAUCUGAUAGCUCAACUAUUAGGCUUUCGGGGGAUACUGCCAGACUUGGAACCGGGAGAGGUAAGAGGUACUACAGGGGUAGGAGUGAAAUCUUGUAAUCCCUGUGGGACCACCUGUGGCGAAGGCGUCUUACCAGAACGGGUUCGACGGUGAGGGACGAAAGCUGGGGGCACGAACCGGAUUAGAUACCCGGGUAGUCCCAGCCGUAAACGAUGCUCGCUAGGUGUCAGGCAUGGCGCGACCGUGUCUGGUGCCGCAGGGAAGCCGUGAAGCGAGCCACCUGGGAAGUACGGCCGCAAGGCUGAAACUUAAAGGAAUUGGCGGGGGAGCACAACAACGGGUGGAGCCCUGCGGUUUAAUUGGACUCAACGCCGGACAACUCACCGGGGCGACAGCAAUAUGUAGGCCAAGCUGAAGACUUUGCCUGAAUCGCUGAGGAGUGGUGCAUGG
rnacentral:rRNA from 1 species